UACGGAGGGGGCUAGCGUUGUUCGGAAUUACUGGGCGUAAAGCGCACGUAGGCGGCUUUACAAGUCAGGGGUGAAAGCCCGCGGCUCAACCGCGGAAUUGCCCUUGAGACUGUAUCGCUUGAACACGGGAGAGGUGAGUGGAAUUCCGAGUGUAGAGGUGAAAUUCGUAGAUAUUCGGAAGAACACCAGUGGCGAAGGCGGCUCACUGGACCGUAGUUGACGCUGAGGUGCGAAAGCGUGGGGAGCAAACAGG
rnacentral:rRNA from 2 species